rnacentral:rRNA from 2 species
UUUAAUUCGAAGCAACGCGAAGAACCUUACCAGGUCUUGACAUCCCUCUGACCGCUCUAGAGAUAGAGCUUUCCUUCGGGACAGAGGUGACAGGUGGUGCAUGGUUGUCGUCAGCUCGUGUCGUGAGAUGUUGGGUUAAGUCCCGCAACGAGCGCAACCCCUAUUGUUAGUUGCCAUCAUUGAGUUGGGCACUCUAGCGAGACUGCCGGUAAUAAACCGGAGGAAGGUGGGGAUGACGUCAAAUCAUCAUGCCCCUUAUGACCUGGGCUACACACGUGCUACAAUGGCUGGUACAACGAGUCGCAAGCCGGUGACGGCAAGCUAAUCUCUUAAAGCCAGUCUCAGUUCGGAUUGUAGGCUGCAACUCGCCUACAUGAAGUCGGAAUCGCUAGUAAUCGCGGAUCAGCACGCCG